rnacentral:rRNA from 1 species
CGGGACGGGGUGGAGGUAAUGCUUGGGAAUCUGGCUUAUGGAGGGGGAUAACUACGGGAAACUGUAGCUAAUACCGCGUAGUAUCGGAAGAUGAAAGUGCGGGACCGGUAAGGCCGCAUGCCAUGGGAUGAGCCCAAGUGGGAUUAGGUAGUUGGUGGGGUAAAGGCCUACCAAGCCUGCGAUCUCUAGCUGGUCUGAGAGGAUGGCCAGCCACACUGGAACUGAGACACGGUCCAG